rnacentral:rRNA from 1 species
UAGCUUUUUUAUUAAUUGUAAGCAGAAUUACACAUGCAAAUAUCCUUAAGCCAGUGAAAAUGCCCUUUAGAUCAUUCCGAUAUAAAGGAGCGGGUAUCAAGCACACAUAUAAGUAGCUCACGACACCUUGCUUAGCCACGCCCCCACGGGAAACAGCAGUGAUAAAAAUUAAGCUAUGAACGAAAGUUUGACUUAGUCAUGCAAUAUAAUAAGGGUUGGUAAAUUUCGUGCCAGCCACCGCGGUCAUACGAUUAACCCAAAUUAAUAAACCACCGGCGUAAAGAGUGUUUAAGAGUAUAACAAAACUAAGAUUAAAUUCUGUCUCUGUUGUAAAAAACCACAGACAGAUGUAAACCCAAUAAACGCAAGUAAUCUUAUUAUAUCUGAACACACGACAGCUGAGACCCAAACUGGGAUUAGAUACCCCACUAUGCUAAGCUAUAAACACAGAACAUUAAACAAAACAAAAUGUUUCGCCAGAGAACUACUAGCCACGGCUAAAAACUCAAAGGACUUGGCGGUGCUUCACACCCACCUAGAGG